rnacentral:rRNA from 1 species
CCCCAGACUCCUACGGGAGGCAGCAGUGGGGGAUAUUGCACAAUGGGGGAAACCCUGAUGCAGCGACGCCGCGUGUGGGAAGACGGUCCUCUGGAUUGUAAACCACUGUCCCCAGGGACGAAGAUGACGGUACCUGGGGAGGAAGCUCCGGCUAACUACGUGCCAGCAGCCGCGGUAAUACGUAGGGAGCGAGCGUUGUCCGGAAUUACUGGGUGUAAAGGGCGUGUAGGCGGGAAAGCAAGUCAGAUGUGAAAACCAUGGGCUCAACCUGUGGCCUGCAUUUGAAACUGUUUUUCUUGAGUACUGGAGAGGCAGACGGAAUUCCUAGUGUAGCGGUGAAAUGCGUAGAUAUUAGGAGGAACACCAGUGGCGAAGGCGGCUUACUGGACUGUAACUGACGUUGAGGCUCGAAAGCGUGGGGAGCAAACAGGAUUAGAUACCCGGGUAA